rnacentral:rRNA from 1 species
UGGGGAAUCUUCCGCAAUGGACGAAAGUCUGACGGAGCAACGCCGCGUGAGUGAAGACGGCCUUCGGGUUGUAAAGCUCUGUGAUCCGGGACGAAAGAGCCUGAGGUGAAUAGCCUAAGGAAGUGACGGUACCGGAAAAGCAAGCCACGGCUAACUACGUGCCAGCAGCCGCGGUAAUACGUAGGUGGCAAGCGUUGUCCGGAAUUAUUGGGCGUAAAGCGCGCGCAGGCGGCUUCCUAAGUCCAUCUUAAAAGUGCGGGGCUUAACCCCGUGAUGGGAUGGAAACUGGGAAGCUGGAGUAUCGGAGAGGAAAGUGGAAUUCCUAGUGUAGCGGUGAAAUGCGUAGAGAUUAGGAGGAACACCGGUGGCGAGGGCGACUUUCUGGACGAAAACUGACGCUGAGGCGCGAAAGCGUGGGGAGCAAACAGG